rnacentral:rRNA from 1 species
UACGUAGGGGGCAAGCGUUGUCCGGAAUUAUUGGGCGUAAAGAGCGUGUAGGCGGUCCGGUAAGUCAGCUGUGAAAGUCAAGGGCUCAACCCUUGAAAGCCGGUUGAUACUGUCGGGCUAGAGUCCGGAAGAGGCGAGUGGAAUUCCCGGUGUAGCGGUGAAAUGCGCAGAUAUCGGGAGGAACACCAAUGGCGAAGGCAGCUCGCUGGGACGGUACUGACGCUGAGCCGCGAAAGCGUGGGGAGCAAACAGG